GGGAGGAUUAGUAGCUCAUCUAAAACUUCACCCAAUUCACUAAUGUACAUAGACAACCCCAUGUAUCCUUUUUCAUGUAUUUUCUCUUUUAUCAUUCACCAUUCCACCAUCUUUUUUCUUUUUAUAAAGCAAUUUUACCCAUUAAUUACAUUCUUGUUUCAGUUGUUUUCUACUGUUCAACCCAAUAAAUUUAGUACUAUGUUUGAUUGUAAAUUUAAAUCUGAUACAACAAAUCCAUCUAUGUAGCAUAGUUGAAAGGGGACUGGAUAUAAAAUUUGGUUAUUUUAUUUGAAGUUUACUUCCUUAUUAGAACACAAAUAAAGAGCUCGUCCAAGCCUCCAAAUUUCCAUCAAAUUCAAUGGAAGAUUCGAACUUGGAAAUCCCUAUUCUGCCAGCAGAAAUCAUCACUGAAAUCAUGUCAAGGCUUCCAGUGAAAUCCCUCUUGAAAUUCAGGUCUGUUUCAAAAUCUUGGCUUUCUUUAAUCUCUAGCCCUGAAUUUAUCAAGACCCAUCUCAGCUUAUCAGCUAAGAACAAGGAAGACACCCAGCAUGUGCUUAUUGUGGAUGUUUGUGCAGACAUGUCGAAUUAUAAAGAAUGUCCUCUUAGAUCUUUAUUUGUUGACUCUGUUACCGAGGCUCUUGAAUUGGAUUAUCCCUCUGAAAACCCCAUUAAACGUUUCUCCUUUUGGGGUUCUUGCAAUGGAUUGGUGUUUCUUGGCCUUGAUGAUUCAGUAUAUUCCCUUCUAUGGAAUCCAACAACUAGAAAGCACAAGAAUUUGCCUGAGUUUACACCUAGAUGGAAGAAAAACUGUCCCGUAUAUAGUUUUGGAUAUGAUGAGUUCCGUGAUGAUUAUAAGGUUGUGUCUUUUAUAUAAUUUUAUUGUUUCCGGUUCAGAUGACGUUGACGACAAAGUAUAUAGUCUAAAGACGGAUUAUUCGACUAGUAUUGAUAAUUGUGGGGAGACAAUCAUUACCAAAAGUGAUGGUUAUUGCGAGACGUUGGACCAUGUAGGCUUGUUUGUGGAUGGGAAGCUUCAUUGGGAUACUUUAAAUACCGAUCCUAAUGCGGGUAAAAACAGGAACAUUUUUUCUUUUGAAUUAGCUAAUGAGAAAUGGGGAAAGGUGGAGAAGCCCUCCUAUGGAGAAGGAGAGACUGAAUGGGUUGUGGGAAAGUUGGGAAGUGAGAUUUCUGUCUAUUGUGAUUAUAAGAGAACUCAUUUUAGUAAGCGUUUUGCCAUAACAAUUAUUCACUUUAUUUCCAUUUUUUUUUUUUUUCAUUUUUCAGCGUUUGGCUAUAAACUUGUAUUUUGAAAUUUUAAAAAUUUAUUUUUCAAAAAAAUUUACUUUUUUUAUUUUUUUACAAUUACAUUUUAUCAAAAAUUACAAUUUCAAAAACUAUUAAUUUUGAAGGAGUAUGGGAUUAAAGAAUCUUGGAUAAAGAUGUUUACCAUCAGGUAUCGAAGUAAUCCAGACUGGUAUCCACCCUUUUUCAUGUCAAAUAAAGGUGAAGUAUUGUCGGUGUACGGACCAACUUUCACGAUAUACAAUGCAAAAGAUGACUCAUUCAGAUAUCCAAAUGUUACUAACUGUGAUGAACUUCAACACACCGAAUUGUACAUUGAAAGCCUAGUUUGUCCUUUUUCAACCGAAGGGACAGAGAAUGCAGCAAAAGAAAGGCAGAAAAAGCUUAGAUCAAAACAGUCGAGUAACGAAUAACUUGUAAGAGUACUUUCUUCUCAAGUCUUUCAAAUUCUAUUUGUUAUUUCAAAUAUAGAACAAGACGUGUAUGUGAAAGUUUAACCAUAUUGCUUGGACUAGUUUUGGGGUUCUCCUUGCUGCUAAUAGCUAGAUGUAUAUUUUCUUCAGGACUAAGUCUCUCAUUCUCUUACUUUUUGAUCAUUUCUUUCAUUUUGACAGUAACACUGAGAUAAGGAUGAUUGCAUUGCAAGGAUAAAGAAUUUAGCAAGCUAAUGUUAGCUGCUUUGAUCAUGAGGGUGGGUUGGGGAUACAAAAGAACAAGAAUAUAGGAGAAACAGAGUUUGGGAUGAACUUCGUUUAAGAGGGUCCUAUAUAUUAUAAGUUAGUGUAGAUUGAAGUGCUAGCUUUUGUCACCUUUGUUUUUUGAUCGGUAAGCCUUUGUCACCUUUGUUAUUUUAAUUUUGAACAAGAAUUAUUCCUACUAUAAAUUCUAAUCUCUUGUUUCUACACAGAGUGGCAAAUUUUAUCUAUAGUUUGAACUACCAAUCAAUAAAAGAAAUAAUGUAUAUGUAUUUUGACCCUUUUUGAGAAUUUGUAUAUAUUUUGUUCCAUUUUCAAAAUGGUAAAUGUUAAAAUAUUUAGGUGCAAUGGCUGUGUUUCACCUCGUGAGGGAUCAAAACCGCUUGUUAAUUGAUUUCAUGAGCAGAGGCGGAGACCACUUUGUCGGAAAAUUUUACUAAAUAAACAUACAAAUAGUAUGGAGAAAAUAAAUCAUAAAAAAAAUGACACCACCUGACUAAGGUAGCUUCCUGUACCGCUGAUGAAGCAUGUCAUUUCUCUCCUUAGGUUAGGGGUUCGAACCUCACGCUAAGGGGCUAUCUUCUUUUGCUAAAAUAUUAGCUGAAUAGAAUCAAACCUUUGACCUCCUCUAAUAAUAAAAAAAUCAGACUAAACCAAUGAUCCAAGGCCAAGAGUGAUAAUAAAUUAUAUAAAUUUACAUCUAUAAAAGUCGACACCGCUUUGAUGUGCCGUGAAAUUACGGGAUAUUCGAUGCUAAUUUCUUAAGCUUUUGUAACUCUUCAAGCACUUUUGUUGUUACUUUUUGUGUAUUUAUGUCGUUUUGUAGGAUAAGAUGCCCGGAGAGCAUAACGGAGCAAAACGGAGCAAAAUAGAACAAGCAGCACUUUCUGGCAGCACAUGCUAGCAGCACUUGCUGCAGCAUGUUGUGCAUGCAACACCUGCGAGUAGCACUUGCUGCAGCAUGUUGUGCCUGCGAGUAGCAUGUGCUGCACGCAGGGCAUUUUUGUCCACAAUUUGUUUCCGUUUUGGAAUGUUAUAAAUACUCUUUUAGGGUUUGUAAAACAUUAUUUUUGGCCAUUUCAUACAAGUUUUGGAGACUAGGUUCCUACACCACACUUUGGGGUUGAAGAUUUGAAUAUUUGGUUUAGCAUUUCUUAAACUUUUAAUUCAUUUCUUCAAUUCCUUGCUUUGUAUUGUAUAUUUAAGUGUGUAGUAUUUAUUUUCUUCACUUGAAUCUUGUUUAUGGAAAUAUUUUAUGAUUAAAGUGUUGGAUGAAACUCUUGUUUUGCUUAUGUAUUGAAUGAUUUUUAUUGCUAUUGAAGUAGGUCUUUGUUGAUUUAAUUAAUCUUGUUCUUUAAUGUUUCUUAAGGGAUUAGCUAACCCUAAGACUCACCCAUUUACUUUAAUUGAGCUUGGAAGAGGAAAUCUAAGUUGGGAAAGAUUAAUUAACAAGAAUUUGGGUCAUUAAACCUAUCUAAUAACUUGAGCUAGAAAUAGGAAAGUUACUUGAGAUUCAAUUGGUUGGGCUUGAUAUCACACUCUAAGACUUGGAAAAGCUUAGAGUGAAAUUCAUUGAUUUGGUUGGAAGACUUUCAAUGAGAUUGUAGAAACCAUUAUCUAUGAACAUAAACCUGCUCUUAGUUGUAAAAUCAUGAAAUACAUUGGAUCGCUACUUGAGUGUAAUUUCCUUUGUAUCCAAACUUGUGACCAUUGAUCAUUUUACCCGUUUUCUAGUUAGUUUUAUCUUUGUUAGUUUUUAUAUCAAAAAUCAAAUAUUGAAAAAGUGUUUGGCUUAACUUAGUUGGUGAUAAUUCCUUACUUGUUUAAAUCCCUAGUAUAUUGUUCCCUGUGGGAUCGACCCUGACUCAUAAUUGGGUAAAUUAUAUUGCGACGACCGUGUACACUUUCUCUUUGAGGAGUGGAUUUGGAUGGUAUCACGCUUAUCUCUAUUUGUUAUGCUAUCAACUAUGUAAUCUGAUAUUUUGGAAUUUGACAUCUCGCUAGCUGUAUCUAUUGGAGCCAGAGAAGGUCAUGGUUUGUUGCUAUACCAAUCACCUAAUUACUCCUUUUCGGCAGCAUAAUAUGAUCAUGUGAUUUCAUGAGUACUGCCUGCAAUUUUUCUCAACUAUAGUUCUUUUUAUAUUUAUGUAUAAUAGACAACACAUAUCACUUGAAGUUGCACUGGUCUAGACAUCAGAUAAGUUAACUAUGGCAUAUUUGUUUGUAAGUUAACUAUGGUAUAUUUGUUUGUUCAUUGCUUAAGUUGAACGGAAGCACUUCUGUCAUGUCCCAAAUGUAGCUGGUAUUGAUAUUGAGCUCAAGACCGUGCACGAGGACAACCCUGCAUUUGGUGCUUCUAUAUCUCCGGUGUUUCUACUUGUCAUUUGAGUUGUGAUGUAUCAGUGAGGUGCUUCGUUAAUUUCUACUGUGACAAACAGCUAUUCCAAUCACUUGAUGUUUAUCUGCUCAAGUUAUAUGUAUUUUGUGAA